rnacentral:rRNA from 1 species
UACGUAGGGUGCAAGCGUUGUCCGGAAUUAUUGGGCGUAAAGAGCUUGUAGGCGGUUUGUCGCGUCUGCUGUGAAAUUUCGGGGCUCAACCCCGAACUUGCAGUGGGUACGGGCAGACUAGAGUGUGGUAGGGGAGACUGGAAUUCCUGGUGUAGCGGUGAAAUGCGCAGAUAUCAGGAGGAACACCGAUGGCGAAGGCAGGUCGUCGUGGGCCUGACCUACUGACGCUGAGAAGCGAAGACAUGGGGAGCGAACAGG